AUUGGAUCCAGACUUUGAUCAUGGCUCAGGAUGAACGCUAGCUACAGGCUUAACACAUGCAAGUCGAGGGGAAACGAUAUUGGAAGCUUGCUUCCGAUAGGCGUCGACCGGCGCACGGGUGAGUAACGCGUAUCCAACCUGCCCAUCACUUGGGGAUAACCUUGCGAAAGUAAGACUAAUACCCAAUGACGUCUCUAGAAGACAUCUGAAGGAGAUCAAAGAUUUAUCGGUGAUGGAUGGGGAUGCGUCUGAUUAGCUUGUUGGCGGGGUAACGGCCCACCAAGGCGACGAUCAGUAGGGGUUCUGAGAGGAAGGUCCCCCACAUUGGAACUGAGACACGGUCCAAACUCCUACGGGAGGCAGCAGUGAGGAAUAUUGGUCAAUGGACGAGAGUCUGAACCAGCCAAGUAGCGUGCAGGAUGACGGCCCUAUGGGUUGUAGACUGCUUUUAUGAGGGAAUAAAGUGAGUCUCGUGAGACUUUUUGCAUGUACCUUAUGAAUAAGGACCGGCUAAUUCCGUGCCAGCAGCCGCGGUAAUACGGAAGGUCCGGGCGUUAUCCGGAUUUAUUGGGUUUAAAGGGAGCGUAGGCCGGAGAUUAAGCGUGUUGUGAAAUGUAGAUGCUCAACAUCUGCACUGCAGCGCGAACUGGUUUCCUUGAGUACGCACAAAGUGGGCGGAAUUCGUGGUGUAGCGGUGAAAUGCUUAGAUAUCACGAAGAACUCCGAUUGCGAAGGCAGCUCACUGGAGCGCAACUGACGCUGAAGCUCGAAAGUGCGGGUAUCGAACAGGAUUAGAUACCCUGGUAGUCCGCACGGUAAACGAUGGAUGCCCGCUGUUGGUCUGAAUAGGUCAGCGGCCAAGCGAAAGCAUUAAGCAUCCCACCUGGGGAGUACGCCGGCAACGGUGCAACUCAAAGGAAUUGAAGG
rnacentral:rRNA from 1 species